rnacentral:tRNA from 1 species
GUCACAGAAAACAGGAAUCUAAGGACAAAGUUUAGAUCGGGAAGCAAAUCAACCCUUUGAAUGCAGAAUAAAGUGGCAGAAGGACCCGGCGAAGGUCCCAGCGUGUCUCGAGGGGCAUACAGGGCGGCCAGCUGGAGCCGGGUCAACAAAAAAGCAGGUGAUUUUUGUCUACCAAUGAAUGCCGGCACUGGUUCAACCUAUUAUUAGAUAUUUGCCAAGUAACUUCACUACUCUAAGUGACAGUCGUCAUUUUUAUGGUGGUUGUGAAAUGUGUCUUAAUUAAGACACCUGACUCAGACUGUGGUUAUGGGGAUUAAACCAGGAAAAACGAUUAGAUCAUGUUUCUACAAGACUCACUGGGAGCACUACACAGACGAAGAAAUUCAAGUUGUUGAUUCUUUGUGUGACGAGGUGGCCGAGUGGUUAAGGCGAUGGACUGCUAAUCCAUUGUGCUCUGCACACGUGGGUUCGAAUCCCAUCCUCGUCGGCUGCAUAGCAAGCCUUUUGUUCCAGGAAUCACAAAUGAUAUGAGGCGCCAGAGCAGCUUGUUGUACAAGUAGAAGAUGAUGAAGUUCAGGGCUACUUUGAUCUCCAGCUGCAUGGUCCUUUCCUAGGCAGAGAAUCAGCACAGGGGACGUGCACAGCCUUGGGCUCCAGAAGGCUUCCGGUCUCCACCGCGGCUGGGCGCUCUGCCAGCCUCGGGGCAGCUUCUCCCUCUAGAGUGGCCCUGAGCGCGGGGCGGCGGUCGCUCUCUCUUUUUUCCCCCGGAGCCGCCCGGCCGGGGGCCGAAGUCCUUUUCGUCGUCGAGGGUUGGGGGAAGCAGGCAGCUAUGGUCAUGACUCCCAAAAAUAAUUCCUUCAGCGCUUAGGAGGUUGGGCGGCUGGGGGACGAAGGGCUGG